GACGAACGCUGGCGGCGUGCUUAACACAUGCAAGUCGAACGAGAGGACAAGAGAAGCUUGCUUCUUUUGGAAUCGAGUGGCAAACGGGUGAGUAACACGUAAACAACCUGCCUUCAGGAUGGGGACAACAGACGGAAACGACUGCUAAUACCGAAUACGCUUGGGAGACCGCAUGAUCUUCCAAGGAAAGGGUGGCCUCUACUUGUAAGCUAUCGCCUGAAGAGGGGUUUGCGUCUGAUUAGGCAGUUGGUGAGGUAACGGCCCACCAAACCUACGAUCAGUAGCCGGUCUGAGAGGAUGAACGGCCACACUGGAACUGAGACACGGUCCAGACUCCUACGGGAGGCAGCAGUGGGGAAUCUUCCGCAAUGGCGAAGCCUGACGGAGCAACGCCGCGUGAGUGAUGACGGCC
rnacentral:rRNA from 1 species